GGACCAUUAAUUAUUCUUAUUAUAUGAAUACAUUGAAGACAAGACAAGAAAUGAAUUGGUCAACUCGACUAGCCGCAUGGAUGAUUCUAUUUAGUAUCGUCACGACGCAUGUCCAUAGUGAUUUCCAAAUUCGAACAUUAGAUAAGAAGGUUGCGUCUACAUUUUUAUGUCAACAUGGCUGCAGAUAUGCACACAUUGACUUGGCAGAAGAAGAAGAACUAGAAAGUGAAGAACCUCCACCAGAAGUUAUUAUAUGGGAACAUUACAGCAGCGACUGCAAGUAUUGUAUUUGACACCAGCAACACGACAGAUGACACUAGUGGAAACAUGAUACUCUUCCAGAGCACCUCAACUUAUUGUUUGUCGUUUUUU